UACGGAGGGUGCAAGCGUUGUCCGGAUUUAUUGGGUUUAAAGGGUGCGUAGGCGGCUCUUUAAGUCAGUGGUGAAAUACUACAGCUCAACUGUAGGAUUGCCAUUGAUACUGAAGAGCUUGAGUACAGAUGAGGUAGGCGGAAUUUAUGGUGUAGCGGUGAAAUGCAUAGAUACCAUAAAGAACACCUAUUGCGAAGGCAGCUUACUAAGCUGUAACUGACGCUGAGGCACGAAAGCGUGGGGAGCGAACAGG
rnacentral:rRNA from 1 species